rnacentral:lncRNA from 1 species
UUGCAUUACAUGUUUGGACGAUUUUUGGUACUUGAAUUUUAUUUGUUUUAAAAUCGUUUUGAGGAAAGGUGUUUUUGGAAUUUAAAAUUAUUAAGAAAGGAGAUGAUUGAAAAUCAUUAUUUUGGGGAGAUUAAAUUUUUCAAAGUGCUUUAAACGGUAUUUAACUUCACAUCCAUAUUAAGUUAAAUUCAUAUUAGUUAUCGGUUUUACUCCACUUUUUGUAAUUUUGACGAUAAUUGAUUAUAUAAAUUUUUAAUACAUAUAUUCAUCAAAAUU